UCCGUGAUGGUGUAGCGGUAACAUCGGUCGCUCUCAAGCGAUAACCUCAGGCUUAGCCUGAAGUCCAUCUCGUGUCCCGACCAGCCCGGGGUUCGACUCCCCGUCACGGAA
rnacentral:tRNA from 1 species